rnacentral:rRNA from 1 species
GCAUAUCAAUAAGCGGAGGAAAAGAAACCAACAGGGAUUGCCCUAGUAACGGCGAGUGAAGCGGCAACAGCUCAAAUUUGAAAGCUGGCCUUCGGGUCCGCAUUGUAAUUUGUAGAGGAUGCUUUGGGUGAAACGCCAGUCUAAGUUCCUUGGAACAGGACGUCAUAGAGGGUGAGAAUCCCGUAUGUGACUGGAAAUGUUAACCUAUGUAAAGCUCCUUCGACGAGUCGAGUUGUUUGGGAAUGCAGCUCUAAAUGGGAGGUAAAUUUCUUCUAAAGCUAAAUAUUGGCGAGAGACCGAUAGCGCACAAGUAGAGUGAUCGAAAGAUGAAAAGCACUUUGGAAAGAGAGUUAAAAAGCACGUGAAAUUGUUGAAAGGGAAGCGCUUGCAAUCAGACUUGUUUAAACUGUUCGGCCGGUCUUCUGACCGGUUUACUCAGUUUGGACAGGCCAGCAUCAGUUUCGGCGGCCGGAUAAAGGCUCUGGGAAUGUGGCCUUCACUUCGGUGAAGGUGUUAUAGCCCAGUGUGUAAUACGGCCAGCCGGGACUGAGGUCCGCGCUUCGGCUAGGAUGCUGGCGUAAUGGUUGUAAGCGACCCGUCUUGAAACACGGACC